CCAUAUCAUCUGAAAAACUCCUCAUGACGCCAUAGCACCCAUUGAAAUAGAGUGUUUGGAAAAAAAACGAAAUCUUUUGGUCCAGUGUAGAGGGCGUAGUCAGAAGAAAACGGCAACCAAUAGAAGUAAUACUCAUCAUCACUUCUAUUGGUUUCUGACACGUCCAUCAACCGCCAGCACUCACCCCUCCUCCCUGCGCGUUCACCGACUCGUGAACUUGACCGACCCCGCCCCCAUCAUUCAUGCACACGCGACAAGGCUCAUCAUCACUCGGCUAGUAGCAAGGUAACGAGAGUUAGCAGCAGGCUGAGCUACUUGGAAACUUUGGUGGCUUUUGCAGAGCUACAGGAAGAACUUUGGCUUUUGGAACACUGGACUAACCAUGUCAGGAUAACAUACUCCCUUGGAUUAUAGUCAUCGGACUCGCAAGACCAGACUCCAACACGGGCUGAAAUUUUGAAAUGGGACCUGACACUCUUGGACACAGUCGGCUACGGCAGCGGCUUCAAAUACGCUUUGGUGACCAUAUUUCUAAUCGAGAGUUGUGCGAACGAGCCAGACAAACCAGCUGGGAGGAGGACGGAAGCACCCCUUCUCCAUCCGCGUUCAGUUGCUAAAUACGGAUUCACCCCGUAGUAAGUAACCUAGUUCUACCAUGUUUACGCACACAUUACUUUGACCAGCAAAGCCCAUGUCUUUCUAGUGGUUUACAAAAAUAUAUCGUUUGCAUGUUUUGCUUUGGUACGUCUCUGUUGUAUGACUCUGGUAAUAGUAGCAAGCACAAGCACAACCUGUUCGCCGCUCCAGCAUUGCAAAAUAGAUUGCCUUGGGUUUUCAAAUGUUUACAUGAUUGUGGGUGUAAUGUUGUUAACUCGCUGAUGUCGUUUUUGAGAAGACGGUAGUUUUGCAUUUGAUAAAUACCACCCAAUGACCAUGACGGCUACACGGCAGAUCUUUAUUGUGAUGGCUACACUGAAUGAUCACAUGGAGAUGCCGGUACAUUAUUUGUUUUACCCUGGUUAUAUUGAAAUGUUCUGCUUUGUCCAUUCCAAGGUGUGGUGUUUUCCAUAGCUGUUCCUUGCUCCUGUAUCACAACAUAUCAAGGCUGCCAAGUAAAUGAAGAAUGAAUCACUGCACACUGGUAGUUUAUUUUAUUCAUGUUUGUGGGUGUAAUCUCGUCCAGUUGCAGAUACUACUAUCCUUUUUGGAAUGAUCUGCCUUUGAAAAACAAUGGUUCUAUCUGACAAAAGCGAACAGAUCCUGUAGUUGUAAUUGAUACACUAAAUCAGUGUUUCUCAACCUUUUUUUUAGGCGAGGCACCCUUUCAAUUCAUGAAAAAUUUCAAGGCACCCCAAACCAACUAGCUGUAAUGCAGCAUCACAUCCGAUACCACACAAGCUUAGAAUGUAACACAUUUGGAGACACACAACCUAGUAGCACGACCUACGUUCAAAGUUGCAGCUGGGGUGACCAAUAUUUACUUUAUUGUGCGUAAAUGGCAGAUCAAAGAUUCCACUGACUAACAUUAACUAAUUUAUUUAUCAGCCACGUUUCCGCGGCACCCCUGAGGGGGCCCUACGGCACCCCAGGGUGCCCCGGCACCCCUGUUGAGAAACACUGCACUAAAUUAUGAUAUUCCUAUGUGUGCGCGCGCACGCGCCAAGUUUUCAAUUCAACACACUGGGACACUUUUCAGUCUUUGAGGUUGCUGGAAUCAACACAGACUACCUCCAUGCACCUUAUCAGAACACUUUGCAUGUUUUUUGUAUACUUGUCCCCUUUGUGUAUUGCUGCUAAUCUUUCUCUUUCUAGGUUCUGUUGGUUGCAUGCAGAUUGUGCCAGAUGAUUUAUCUGUCUAUGGUCUAAGCAUGGGCUCUGUGCUAAUAUGCAAUUUGUGCUCUUUUUUUCCCUCAGGUCAACAGCAGACAGGGUCCUUCCACAACCACAUACUUAUGCCAGUAAAAGCCACAGCUUUUCUCCUCCAAUCCAAGACGCCUGGACUGCAGUCACCAUCUCAACACACCAACCAAGAGAAAGGCGGAUGGCUCAAUUCAGUAUGUAGUUCUGCAAAUAUUCUCAAAGGUCUUCACAGCCCCCCAUGGUGCUGAAUGCAUUUACAUUUAUUUGUAUAUGGAAAAUUGCACAAUAAAAGUUCCAGGACAUGAAGGCUGCAUACUGUGAACGUCAACCUUCAGGGCACCGUCCUGCGCAGAAGACUUUCUACCCUAAGAGGGAUGGCUGACCGCAGACACUCACAACCAGCACAGACGCCUCCAACCUCAGACUAGGCCCUUCACAGUUGCUGCACUUACCCACCUUCCCAGAGUUUUUGUGUGGUAAUGACAACUGUAAAAAUAUAGUAUAAAGUAAUGUAUCUAGUGUAAUGUGUAAUACAUUGUUUAAAUUGUCCAUACAUUUCAAUGACAGUAAAUAUUGGUGGACACAAUUUGACUGUGUGGCUUUUUUUUUAAAUUCAUUCUCUGACUGAAAAUGCAUGGUUACAUAAUUUAUAUAUUCCACAAGACCACAAUCAGAAGAUUAUUUGACAGGUUGCAUUUAUUUUCUAUGUAAGAAAAAAACAAUGGUAACAAGACAAACGUGGUUCCAAACAAAAAAGGUGAGAUGUACAGAUGAAUGCUCCUACAGAUAAUGAAAAAUAAUAAAACUCUGCACACUGCCGGUUUGUGUGUUUUAUACCGUACUCUGUAUAAACCUUUUAUAUUGCUCUAGUGGAGCAGGGUAACCCUGGCUAAUCCUGGGUAUUGUACUGUGUAUUACAACGUCAGCCCUGUUCAAGUGCCCCAUACUGUCUGUAGGCUGCAUGCCUGAAGAGACCGUUUCUCUCACCUGGUCCUACAUCAGCCCAAAGUCUUAUCAAAACUGAGAACACCACAGCAUUUCCUUUCAAUGUUCAUGGGCAUCUCCUUACAGAUUGCGCAGAGGCGCCAGGUUGGUUGUGCUACUGGGCUGUGACUGAGGACCAGAUGUCAUGUGCCAGGUCGAACAUCAAACUGGGGUCACGGGUCAGGGCACGCUGCAGUAACCGAUGGGAUUGCUUCAAAUUCAAUGAUUGAAUCAAGGCCUGCAAAGCAAUAAAUACAUUUUAUGUAGUGCAUUUUCUAUUUGAUGAUGGGGACUAAAUAACUCUAUUGACAAUAAGACCAAUAUGGACAUAAGCAAUCAUUAUUGUGUAUAUAAAUAAAGAUGUGCCAAUUAUAUGCAUACAACGUUUUCAGUCAAUUUCUUACAAACUGGUGUUGUGCCAGGGGUUACACAGAUGUAUGAAGUAGAUGGGCUUUUAUGGAUGUACUUGAACUACCACUGGUGUUGUGUACCUACAACCAUGUAAUAUCACACUACUACUCAUAGGAGUAGAAAUAUUGUAAUGGUUAUCACAACAGGUGUACUCGUGUAGCCUACUCGUGUUGCGAUAUAGAGUACAUCC